AUACUGUGGUUUCUCUUCAGAUUGUAUGAAUCGUUUGCCUUUUACUAAAGAUUUCCAUGGAGAGGAACAACUCUGAAUACCAUGCA
rfam:Homo sapiens chromosome 10, GRCh38 reference primary assembly.